GGCAGACAGUCUGUGUCUGAUAGUAAGAGAGAGAGAGAGAGAGAGAGAGAGAGAGGUGAGCUUCGCGUCCUCCUCUUCUUCUUGUGACUGUUGUUGCUUGGACGCAUGCCACAGCCGGUGUCUUGUCUCUAAGCGGAAACCCUCUCUCCCCAGAAUUAUUGGGUUCUUGAUGAAGUUAUUUUUUCUUGGGAAAUUGAGGUGUUUUUCGCGGUGAAUUGUGCGGAGUUUCAAGAAAUGUUGGACGAGAGGACUUGCUUGUAAAUGUCAGUUAAGAUGAAGAUGAACUUGGAGGAUGAUAAGAUAGAACCUGUGACUGAUUUAGGACUCUCUCUCGAUUAUUCUGACCAAUACAAUCAGAGAGAGGCAUUGAACAUCGAUCCCAGUGCAGGUGCAAAUGCAGGAUCAAGUGUGCACAUGACAUUUGUCGCCACCAACCCAUUGACGGAACUUGUGUGGUCUCCACACAAAGGUUUGAGUCUUAAAUGCGCUGACUGCAGCUUUUCAGAUGGGAAACCAGCUCUUACAUGGGGCGCAAGGCCCAGUAAUACGGCGGGUAUGGAAUGUCUCAUUGAACCGGUUAGUGAGCCGAAUUUGAUGGAAUUAGAGGAGAUAGUUGAUGCGAAGAUUGGUUUUACAACGGUACAUAAUUCGAGUGACAAGGAAAACGCAGUCAAUGGCGACAACAUGCCAGAGAUGAAAUUGAAAGCUCCUCCUGAAGUGUCUCUUUCUGAUAAAAGUUUUGAUGAGGGGAACCUGAGAGAUGGGCAGAGAGGAGGUAGGUCUGGGUUGGUCGACUUGAAGAUGGUGGAAGCAUCAAAAUGCACGGAAAAAUCAUAUUCUGCUUCACCAGGUUGUGAGGAGGGGACAAUAGUCAAUAUCCCAGCGAGCCAACUUAUCCAUUCUGAUGCUUCGGGCGAUCAAAAGCUUGGAAUUGAUGUGGUUCCGGUCUCUGAAGUUCAUCUUGUGGCCGAACAUCAUCCAGUGGACAAACAUAAACCUUCCGAUGAACCUCUCAUCUCUCUAUGCAAAGAUAAGGGAAAAAGAAUAAUGAGUGUGAAUGCAACUAGCCUUCACCGUUCGGAGAAACUGGAAUCAACCGCUGAGAACGUUCUACAAGCCAUGAACAUAGGUAACACUGCCGGAGCAGGAAUAAAGGUUACAUUGGAAUCAGAAUCUGCUGCUGUAAUCAAAUCAGAUCCUGUCCUGGAUUGCGAGGUAAAUCCGGGGGACGAUAUUAUUUUCAACUCUCAUUCUGCUCCCAGCAAGAGCAGAGUUCGUAAACAUGAAAACAGAGGCAAAGGAAAGGCUUUGUCUGAAGGUGAUGUCAACGGAAGGUUUUCGAAGGAUGAGGAAGAAGAUGACAGCUAUGAAAGUGUUGAGAGUUGUAAUAGUGCAGGGAUCUUCUCGACAGGAAAGAGGCGGUGGAGCUUUGAGCAGCAACUGAUUGGGGGGAGUAAGAGGGCAAAGCAGAUUGAACGAAUUCCCGGGACUUCAAGCACACCGACAAAGCACGAUAGUUCAUUUUUGAAUUGGAUAUCAAACAUGAUGAAGGGGUUCGCAAGGCCCCUGAAUCAGGAUGAGGAGGCACGUCCGCUCAGGUUUGCUCCUGCAAACCCUAGUCGCGUCGUUCAUGAGAAUAUGGAUGCUGCGAUGGAUGGGGACAUCCAACUGCUUAAUAGUAGGAGUAUGGGCUUUAAAUCCAUUUUCCAAUCGAUAUAUUGUCCAAAUAAGAGUGCUGAAGGAAUGACCACAUGUUUUAAUCAAUUGGGAGAGGGAUCUGCAGAAACCGAGCUGGCUAAUCAGACAAGCCUGACUGAUGCCGGCAUGCUGCACUGUUUUAAUAAAGGGAGUGAUAACAAAGUAUCGAAAGGGAACUUGAAUGAGGCUGUCCUGGGAAAAGAAGUGGUUCCUUUGGGUCCACCUCAGGUUUCGUUUGGGAAUUUCGUCAGCUCUUGGGAAAUUGGCAGGGCUUGCUCUUCUGGGAAUAGGAAUUCCAAUGACUUUGGACAUGGGAAAGGCAAGGAUGCAACUAAAACAUCCGAGUCAUCGCUUAAUGGACGGAAUGCGAAAAUAGGGGAGAAUAAUAGCUCUCCAACAUCAGAGGAGAAGAGGGCUAAUGAUCUUGGAUACCGAGGUGAUCCCUUCAGAAGCCUGUGGGUAACUCGUUUUUGUCCAAGACCUUGCUCGGUGAUCAAGGAAGAAGUUGGUAACCUAAGCAUUGCUGGAGCUUGUGAGAGUGGUCAGAAUUCGCUUGGUUUUUGUUGGGAUGAAGCUGCUCUAGAGGUGAGGGAUAGUACUGAUCAGGAACCUUCACAUGUCAUUGGGGAUCGAGAACCGAAGAAUUUUUUAUUCUGCCCUGAACCUUCAGUUGGUUUCGGACGAAUUGAGGAUCCAGCUUUGAUGCACAAAGAGAACCGAAUACUGCCUUCCAUGAGACUUAAAAGCUCGGAGGUGAUGGCUUCAGUAUUUGCAAGGAGAUUGGAUGCUCUCAAGAACAUUAUCUCGUCUUCGGAUGUAAUGGAUGAUUCAUCUCGGGCAACUACAACCUGCUUCUUCUGUGGGAUAAAGGGACAUCACUUGCAGAAUUGCUCGGAGAUUACAGAAACUGAGCUCGAAGAUCUUCUAAAGAACAUCAAAUCAUAUGAUAAAGCUGAUGGAUCCCCUUGUUUGUGCAUUCGAUGUUUCCAGCUCAAUCACUGGGCUGUUGCGUGUCCAAACGUGUCGCAGAAGAACCCUGAGGACAAUCUUAAGUGCAACCUCAAAUUGAAAGAAGUUUUUACCAUAGAUCGAGUUAUAUCAAGCUCAAAUCAGGCUGAGAAGAAGUCAAAUGUGAAUGUAAUCGCACCAUCGGGCGAUCUUGAAAAGUGGCAAGUUCGCGAAGUGCCAAAAGGAAUCUUCAGUGCUAUAAAGACCCUCCGAUUGUCCCGUACUGAUAUACUCAAAUGGAUGAAAACCCGAAUAUCACUGUCUCACCUUGAUGGAUUCUUCCUACGCUUGAGGCUUGGCAAGUGGGAAGAGGGGUUCGGAGGGACUGGUUACUACGUUGCUUGCAUAACUGGCAUGCAAAGGAAGAGUCUGGUGAAGGAUGCCAAAAGCCCCAUUUCGGUGAAUGUUGGGGGAGUAAAGUGCUUGGUUGAAAGCCAAUACAUAUCCAACCAUGAUUUCCUCGAGGAUGAGUUGAUGGCAUGGUGGUGCAUAGCCUCGCGAAACGGCGGCAAGGUCCUGUCAGAAGAAGACCUGAAAAUGAAAGCUGAGGAGAAGAAAAUGCUCGGGUUUUGAUGCCCAGGACAUCCGAACAAAUCAUUGGAGUGAUUCAUACUACUCUACCACAGUUGCAUAAUCCGACACCAAGGUGGUGAGCGGGAGAAAGUAUCUAGUGCAACCGUGUUACCACAUCAGCUCUGUAACGCGGUAACACCUUCCGAUCGCAAGUCGACAUGUGGAGAAAAACUCUAGCCAGUAGAGCUGCUCAGUGCAUAACGGCAGCUUCUCGUGAGAUGUAACGACGUUACUCUAUUUAAAAGGUUUUUACUCUAUUUAAAAGGUUUUAAAAUUUUCGAGUCCCGCCAGAUAUUUCUCUUCGCCCGCCUAGGGAAGAGAAAGCAGGGCUACCAGCUUGCCAUUAGUAUCACAUGUCACACCAGUCUCUCUCUCUCAUUGUUAUCAGAACUGGACCGGACCGGCCGGUCGAUCGGUCGGAUCGGGAAUCGGCACCAUGUCCGGUCCGGUUCGCUCGAAAUCUCAAAUUGCUAAUUUGAACGGUCGGACCCACUAAAUCGGUCAGUUUUGAGCAAAAUUUUAUUGAACCGGCUGGUUUUAUGAGUU